GAGAGAUAAUAAUAAGCUUAUCAGAUCUCUCUCCGAUCCAAGUUUCUUAUCUCUAGAGCGCUCGACAGCCACCAGUAGCCACUGCACACGACACAGCAGCAGCGCUAACGUUUUCCACCCGGCACGACACCGGCAAACCUUUUGCACACGGAAACCAGCAACCAUUUUAUAAAAUAAUGUGUAACUCCGUGUCUCAACCAGAAACGGCCGGGCGAAAGCCGUGGGGGUUCAGAACAGAUGGACUCCUCUACGUCAUCGGUUAAGCCCCGCCCAUAAACAUCCCGGCCGAGAUACCAGCUUCCUCUUCACGUGGCCUUGAUGAGACGUUUUCCGAGAACUUCGCACAACAGUUCCUCAUCACCAAUGGCACCGACGAGCGAGUGAUCGAUUUAUCGAGCUGAAAGACGACACGAAAAAUAAUUUUAAAAAAUGACGUCAUCGGCCUGGAAAUGGGCUGGAUUCCUUCGAAGUUGACCUGAUGUUCUCGGCGAUGGAUGACCUCGACCCAGGUCGAAGAAACAGGACCGGAUCACCUCAAGGUCGUAAUCUGUCAUUGGGUACCGUUGGGCCUCCAACGCUGCCUUCAAAUUCUACCAAAAUUUCU